GACUUCACCUCUUUAGAGCACUGAUUCCUUCCUUCCAGAAUGCUCUAGGUUAGCAGCUGCCAAGGUAACCCUGGACUUCACCUCUUUAGAGCACUGAUUCCUUCCUUCCAGAAUGCUCUAAGGUUAGCAGCUGCCAAGGUGACCCUGGACUUCACCUAUUAAAGAUGCACUCUGGGAUCUUAAGCACAACAUUCCUAACAUAUUGCACAAAUUGCAUGACGUAGAUUAUUAGGAUCCUCAUUAGCUCUUCCCCAAACAAUUGAAUUGAAUCAAGUCAAACAGUACAUGUACAUUAACUUAGUACAUAUCUUUAAAUACAACGUUUAUAAUACCACCAUUCUGUCUGUGUAAGU
rnacentral:lncRNA from 1 species